GCUGAGACUUUCUUUAGUGCGGACUGAAGCUAUGAGCGGCCAUAUUGGUAAAACGCCGUUAUAGCGCUGUAGUUGAAUACGUCUCGCAGCAGCAAGCGAUUGGCUGAGACUUCCUGCGGUGGGUGGGGUUUAGUUUGGGCUAUAUAAGGCGCUGCUUGGCCUGGUUGUCUCUCUCUAUCUCCUGCUGGCGGUGACGCCAUUAGAUGAAGACAAUGAAGUGUCCUGAGCUGCCAGUACGUCCCUACACGCAAGAUGUCGGGAAGUCUCAUAGCAACAAGAGCAGCUAAAGUUGUUGCCAGAUCACCAGGAUGGAUUCUGAAUGAACUACAGUUGUGCUCGAGUUUGUAUACCCUGACAGAAAUCAAUCUCUUUCAAAAUCAAUGCCAAAAUUUCACGAUCAUGCCCAAAUGGUCUCUUAAGGAUAGUGAUCAUAUAAAGCCCAUUUUAUUAUCGCAUACUCACCGGCUACUUUAUUAGGUACACCUGUUCAAUUGCUUAGUAACACAAAUUGCUUUUCAGCCAAUCGCAUGGCAGCAACUCAAUAAAUUUAGUAAUCUAGACGUGGUGAAGACAACUUGCUACAUUUUUAACUGAGCAUCAGAAUGGGCAAGAAAGGGGAUUUAAGUGACUUUGAACGUGGUAUGGUUGUUGGUGCCAGACUAGCUGGUCUGAGUAUAUCAAAAACUGCUGAUCUACUGGGAUUCUCACGCACAACCAUCUCUAGGGUUUACAGAGAAUGCUCAGAAAAAGAGAAAAUAUCCAGUGAGCAGCAGUUGUGUGGACAAAAAUGCCUUGUUGAUGUCGGGUCAGAGGAGAAUGGGCAGACUGGUUCGGGAUGAUAGAAAGUAGGGUUGCACCGAUACUUUUUUUUUUUUUUAAAAAGACAGUACAAGUACCAAUAUUUUUUCUUUUUCCAAAUACUUCCCAAUACUAUAUUUUUUUUUUUUUUUUUUUUUUUUUGUCAUGUGACAGUUUCUCAAGCGCAAUACAGACGAAUGAUUUACAAUAGUUUCUUUAUAAUUAUGAAGAACUCUAACUCAAGACAUUUUGGAGUAGUUUUUAUUUGCUUGAGUUUUAAAAACUCAAAGAAAUUAACAGAACGUGUGUCAAACGUGGAAAAACAGUGCAUUGUUUAAUCAUGGGGAACAACACUAUGGGAUAGAUUGCAUGUGACUGGUAAGCUUUACCAAUGCUCUCAUUACACGUCCAACUCUGUUCACAUUUCUAACUCCAGACUUAAAAAUAGAGUAUUGGUAAAGCUUACUAAUCAAAUGUUAUAUAAAUCUAUUCCUAUAUUUGUAGGAUGAGUGUUAAUAGGAAUUAACUUAAAGGGCCAGUAAACCUAGCAAAUGUCUUUUCUUCUCCAAUGCGCAUCGCAGGCACGCUGUCUAAUCGCAGCCGGCGCGGGAGCUAGCUACAUUAAGUUUAAUAGUACGAUCGGACACGCUGUGACUAGACGGCGUGCCCGUGAUGCGCUUUGGAGAAGAAAAGAGACCCACUCGGUAGAGCUAGGAGUGGUCUUCUGUUUUCUUUGCGAGAUCUAUUUAACCAUUCACUUAAGAAAUCUGGUGCUAAGCUCAUGUUAUAUAAUUCUGCACUAAAUUAAUAAAACUAAAUUCGAAAAAAGUUUAAAAUCAUAUGAUCUGAGUCAUGGGAGAAUUUUUGGAUUUCAUGUCCCUUUUAAUAUCGAACCACUCUGGGGAGAUCUGACGUGCGGUUCAUGUAAGACGACCAAAGACUUUACAUGACCUAGAGGCAUCUUGCCAAGAUGAAUGGGCAGCUAAUACCACCUGCAAGAAUUCAGGGGCCCAUAGACAACUAUUACACAAGACGGUACAUUGUUAAUGCUACAGGGGAGAUGCACGGUAUAAGAACUAAGGGCUAUAGACGGCUAUUGCACAAGACGGCGCUGUCACUAAUGCUACAGAGGGCGAUAUACAGUGAGACUUGAGCACAACUGUACCAAAACCGAAGGGUGCUGCUGCCUCCGAGUGUGUAAAGGGUCAUUGUAGUGAGGAAAUGUAAUUGUUUUAUUGUAAACCCUGCAACUGAUAACACCCACACAUUACUUAAACACAUAGGUAAAGUGUCACUCGGGAGAUGCAGGAACUAAUGCUAGUCCAAUCAGCAGUUACAUGACCUGGCUUUGUAUCUACUGCUGCUGGUUGGGUCAGCUUCUGCUCAGGACAUUGAGUGCUCUGUGGCUCCUGGUCAGCACUUUACCUGUGUAUUUAACCUAUGCAGGGGUUAGUUUAAAGGUUUAUAGUGAAAUAAAGAUGCAUUAUCUAGGCUUGUUCUCCCAGCCCCUAUCUAAUGGGCACACCACCUAGAUGAUUUUAGACUCUAAGCUGAAAUCUAAAGGCACAUAAUAGUGAAGGGUCGAUAGUUUAAAGUAGUGGUACAUUUUAGACUAAGAAUGUUGCAAUGAAAAAUAUUAGUUUACAAUUAAAAAUAUAUAUUUAAUUUUUUUUUUUUUAAGAAAGUAUAAAUAUUUUAUAAUAAAAGCUUUAUAAUACUAA